rnacentral:rRNA from 1 species
GCGAAUGGCUCAUUAUAUAAGUUAUCGUUUAUUUGAUAGUACCUUACUACUUGGAUAACCGUGGUAAUUCUAGAGCUAAUACAUGCUAAAAAUCCCGACUUCGGAAGGGAUGUAUUUAUUAGAUUAAAAACCAAUGCCCUUCGGGGCUCACUGGUGAUUCAUGAUAACUCCUCGAAUCGCAUGGCCUUGUGCCGGCGAUGGUUCAUUCAAAUUUCUUCCCUAUCAACUUUCGAUGUUUGGGUAUUGGCCAAACAUGGUUGCAACGGGUAACGGAGGGUUAGGGCUCGACCCCGGAGAAGGAGCCUGAGAAACGGCUACUACAUCCAAGGAAGGCAGCAGGCGCGCAAAUUACCCAAUCCCGACACGGGGAGGUAGUGACAAUAAAUACUGAUACAGGGCUCUUUUGGGUCUUGUAAUUGGAAUGAGUACAAUUUAAAUCCCUUAACGAGGAACAAUUGGAGGGCAAGUCUGGUGCCAGCAGCCGCGGUAAUUCCAGCUCCAAUAGCGUAUAUUAAAGUUGUUGUGGUUAAAAAGCUCGUAGUUGAACCUUGGGCCUGGCUGGCCGGUCCGCCUCACCGCGUGUACUGGUCCGGCCGGGCCUUUCCCUCUGUGGAACCCCAUGCCCUUCACUGGGUGUGGCGGGGAAACAGGACUUUUACUGUGAAAAAAUUAGAGUGCUCCAGGCAGGCCUAUGCUCGAAUACAU